GAAACAGUGGAACACAGGCCUCUCCUUGUCGGGGAUGGGUGUUUCUGCCAACCUGCUAGAUAGCUAGAGAGACUACGGAAGAACGCAUCUCUCUCCUCUGGCUCUCUGUCCGUCCAACCCUCCCUCCAUCCACCUCGCUCUGAGGUACAGGGCCAUAUGGUCUGCUGCUGAGGAUGACACCCCCACGCAGAGGACACGGCACCUCUCGCCCUCUCUCUCCUUGCCAUCUUGUUUACCGCUUACUGGUAUACACCAUGAGUGAAAGGAGGCAACUGUUUGGCCACCGACACUCCGUCCUGACAGACACGUAGCUGGAAAGUGACACAACGCAUCUCGCUUGUCACUCAUCAGCAGCAGCCGCAACUGGCAGGUCGACCGUUCAUCUCCCGUUGCCUCACCUGCUCGAUGUCCCUCAGCUCUUUCCGUCAGAAGCUGUCAAACACGCCAACUGUAAUAUAUGGCCCCUCCAACAAGAACAGCUGUAGCCAUUCCCUCUCAUGCCUCCCUCCCCCUGCCCUGCAUGAAAUAAUACAUCAAGAUUAAUUGAUUUCCCGUCACUCUCGGAGAAAAGAAAAUUAAUUUUCAUGUAUCUUUUCACUCCACCAUCCCUCCAGCAUAUGAAUUUUGUACACGGCAAGUCAUUUAAGUUUUUAAUUAUUCAUGAGGGCUAAAAACAUGAUAAAGUGUUCUGCCAAAGGCCCCAAGGCCGCAUGGAGCUGGUGCCUUGCUAGCUGUGUGCUGAGACAACAAUAGCACUCCCUAAUGCCUGCAUAAAUAAUAUAUGUAUUUACAUACAUUUUUGUUCAACAGAAAUCUCCCCCUUUCCCUCCCUCAUGCUGUCGCAGUUUGACUAAUGUGGAUGGCCAGUUUGGACAGGAAGGUAGUUACAAACAUUGUACUGCGGCAGCCAUUUUGUGAUGACCUUCAUCCGCUUCCAUUAGCCCAACUAAAUAAAGAUACCUCUCAGGGCAGCAGUUGGAGCUGUGGACAAGAAAUGGCUACUGCAGUAACCGACACCUUGACUUGACAAAAUAGUACACAUUCAUGGCUGAAACACACUGACGCCUUGCCUUCAUUUAAAGUCUAGCCAGACACAUGGCUUGUUCAUGGCUUACAGCGAAGAAAUGUUACUUUCAGAAGACACCUUGGCAGCAACAUGUCAGUGGAUGAUGGAGAAGCACUCGGGGUAUGCUGUGAGGGAGAGAACUUUCCAUUGUCUCUGGUUAACAACAGGCCAAGAGAAGGAUACUGUCCCUCCGAUGCCUGAACAGCUCUGACAGACAGACAGAAACAUAUACAAAGGGAUGUGCGGGCGGGCGGAAAGACACAUGGGUAAAAAGGGAUCCGAGCAGCACACUAUCCCUUCAAUAUUAUGGCAACCAUGAUGAAUGAGAUCCAAUUAUAUUCAGGCAGGGGAAUGUUUUUUUUCUUUUUCUUAUAGUCUCCCACCAAUUACAAUAAUUAUGGAGACAGAGAAUUAGGCAGAUUCAAUGGGCCUUAAAAGAA